AUUGAACGCUGGCGGCAUGCCUUACACAUGCAAGUCGAACGGUAACAGAUCUUCGGAUGCUGACGAGUGGCGAACGGGUGAGUAAUACAUCGGAACGUGCCUAGUAGUGGGGGAUAACUACUCGAAAGAGUGGCUAAUACCGCAUGAGAUCUACGGAUGAAAGCAGGGGAUCGCAAGACCUUGUGCUACUAGAGCGGCCGAUGGCAGAUUAGGUAGUUGGUGGGAUAAAAGCUUACCAAGCCGACGAUCUGUAGCUGGUCUGAGAGGACGAUCGGCAACACUGGGACUGAGACACGGCCCAGACUCCUACGGGAGGCAGCAGUGGGGAAUUUUGGACAAUGGGCGCAAGCCUGAUCCAGCAAUGCCGCGUGCAGGAUGAAGGCCUUCGGGUUGUAAACUGCUUUUGUACGGAACGAAAAGCCCUGGGUUAAUACCCUGGGGUCAUGACGGUACCGUAAGAAUAAGCACCGGCUAACUACGUGCCAGCAGCCGCCGUAAAAC
rnacentral:rRNA from 1 species